rnacentral:rRNA from 1 species
GACGAACGCUGGCGGCGUGCUUAACACAUGCAAGUCGAGCGGAAAGGCCUUUCGGGGUACUCGAGCGGCGAACGGGUGAGUAACACGUGAGUAAUCUGCCCUCCACUCUGGGAUAGCCACCGGAAACGGUGAUUAAUACCGGAUAUGACCACUCCCGGCAUCGGGUGGUGGUGGAAACUUUUUUGGGUGGGGGAUGUGCUCGCGGCCUAUCAGCUUGUUGGUGGGGUAAUGGCCUACCAAGGCUUCGACGGGUAGCCGGCCUGAGAGGGUGACCCGCCACACUGGGACUGAGACACGGCCCAGACUCCUACGGGAGGCAGCAGUGGGGAAGAUUGGACAAUGGGCGGAAGCCUGAUCCAGCAACGCCGCGUGAGGGAUGACGGCCUUCGGGUUGUAAACCUCUUUCAGCACCGACGAAGCGAAAGUGACGGUAGGUGCAGAAGAAGGACCGGCCAACUACGUGCCAGCCGCCGCAGUAACAC